rnacentral:rRNA from 1 species
UUCCAGACUCCUACGGGAGGCAGCAGUGGGGAAUUUUGCGCAAUGGGGGAAACCCUGACGCAGCAACGCCGCGUGCGGGACGAAGGCCCUCGGGUUGUAAACCGCUUUCAGCAGGGAAGAUCCAAGACGGUACCUGCAGAAGAAGCCCCGGCUAACUACGUGCCAGCAGCCGCGGUAAUACGUAGGGGGCAAGCGUUAUCCGGAUUUACUGGGUGUAAAGGGGGCGCAGACGGCGAUGCAAGCCAGGAGUGAAAGCCCGGGGCCCAACCCCGGGACUGCUCUUGGAACUGCGUGGCUGGAGUGCAGGAGGGGCAGGCGGAAUUCCUGGUGUAGCGGUGAAAUGCGUAGAUAUCAGGAGGAACACCGGUGGCGAAGGCGGCCUGCUGGACUGCAACUGACGUUGAGGCCCGAAAGCGUGGGGAGCAAACAGGAUUAGAUACCCCGGUA